AGAGUUUGAUCCUGGCUCAGGAUGAACGCUGGCGGCGUGCCUAAUACAUGCAAGUCGAGCGCCCCUUUAAGAGGUGACAAUCGCAAGAUUGCCGGUUCCUAUGGGGAGCGGCGGACGGCUGAGUAACGCGUGGGAACGUGCCCCAAAGUGAGGGAUAACGCACCGAAAGGUGUGCUAAUACCGCAUAUGAUCUUCGGAUUAAAGCUUUAUGCGCUUUGGGAGCGGCCUGCGUCCUAUUAGAUAGUUGGUGAGGUAAAGGCUCACCAAGUCAACGAUGGGUAGCUGGUCUGAGAGGAUGACCAGCCAGACUGGAACUGAGACACGGUCCAGACUCCUACGGGAGGCAGCAGUAAGGAAUCUUCCACAAUGGGGGCAACCCUGAUGGAGCAACGCCGCGUGCAGGAUGAAGGCCCUCGGGUCGUAAACUGCUUUUAUGAGUGAAGAAUAUGACGGUAACUCAUGAAUAAGGGUCGGCUAACUACGUGCCAGCAGCCGCGGUCAUACGUAGGACCCAAGCGUUAUCCGGAGUGACUGGGCGUAAAGAGUUGCGUAGGUGGUCGGUAAAGCAAAUAGUGAAAUCUGGGGGCUCAACCUCACAGGCUAUUAUUUGAACUCACCGACUCGAGAGCAGCAGAGGUAACUGGAAUUUCUGAAGUAGGGGUAAUAUCCGUAGAUAUCAGAAGGAACACCAAUGGCGUAGGCAGGUUACUGGGCUGUUUCUGACACUGAGGCACGAAAGCGUGGGGAGCGAACCGGAUUAGAUACCCGGGUAGUCCACGCCGUAAACGAUGGAUACUAGCUGUUGGAGGUAUCGACCCCUUCAGUAGCGAAGCUAACGCGUUAAGUAUCCCGCCUGUGGAGUACGGUCGCAAGACUAAAACAUAAAGGAAUUGACGGGGACCCGCACAAGCGGUGGAUUAUGUUCUUUAAUUCGAUGCUAAACGAAGAACCUUACCAGGGCUUGACAUCCCGAGAAUUUUGCCGAAAGGCGAGAGUGCUUUAUUGAACUCGGUGACAGAUGUUGCAUGGCCGUCGUCAGCUCGUGUCGUGAGAUGUUUGGUUAAGUCCAUCAACGAGCGCAACCCUUAUAGUUAGUUGGAUUUUUCUAGCUAGACUGCCCCGGUAACGGGGAGGAAGGAGGGGAUGAUGUCAGGUCAGUAUUAGUCUUACGUCCUGGGCUAGAAACGCGAUACAAUGGCCGGUACAACGGGCAGCCAACCCGCGAGGGGGAGCAAAUCCCAUCAAAACCGGUCCCAGUUCGGAUAAGAGGCUGAAACUCGCCUCUUUGAAGUCGGAAUCGCUAGU
rnacentral:rRNA from 1 species